UUCCUGGUGGUCUAGUGGUUAAGACUCUGCUUUCAAUGCAGGAGGCACAGGUUCAGUCCUGGGUCAGGGAA
rnacentral:tRNA from 1 species